AUAAUGAUACUUUCGGAUAGUCGAGAUUAAGUUCCAGAGUCCGACUCGCCAUAAUGGGGAGAGGUUUAAAACCUAUGA
rfam:Clostridiales bacterium oral taxon 876 str. F0540 genomic scaffold Scaffold65, whole genome shotgun sequence.